GGACACAGUGACAGCACCGGAGAAACCUUAAGGUAACUGUGGAUCAGCCUGUUUUUCACUCUGUUUCUCAGUGCGUCGGUAAGAUUCUCCGGUGACCUGAAUGGUUGGCCCCCUUUUUCUGAAGUAGAAUUCUAGAAGCCAGACCAGCCAGUUUUCCCACUGAUGGCCACUCACGCUGCUCAGAAUGCUUGGUACCAAGCCUUUCAUACAUACCGGAGGGACACGCAUCUCC
rnacentral:lncRNA from 1 species